rnacentral:rRNA from 1 species
UACGUAGGGUGCGAGCGUUAAUCGGAUUCACUGGGCGUAAAGGGUGCGUAGGUGGUGAGGUAAGUCGGAUGUGAAAGCUCCGAGCUCAACUCGGAAAUGGCAUUGGAAACUACCUUGCUAGAGGGUUUGAGGGGGGACUGGAAUACUUGGUGUAGCAGUGAAAUGCGUAGAUAUCAAGUGGAACACCAGUGGCGAAGGCGAGUCCCUGGAAAACUCCUGACACUGAGGCACGAAAGCUAGGGGAGCAAACAGG